AUGGACACUGCACUACUCGAGGUCCUUGUUGAGCAUCACAACAAUGGCGAUCAUGCCCAGAAUGGAUGGAAGUCCCAUGUCUACAGUGCUGUUAUAGGUAAUGUGCGUGAGAAGUGCUCUGUGACCAUCACAAAGGAAAACAUCAGUUCAAGGUGCAAAACCUUUGAAAAGCACUACGAGGCCAUUAGCAAGAUGCUAUCUCAAAGUGGAUUUGGGUGGGAUUGGGUCAAUAACAAGCUGUCAAUUGAUAGUGAAAAUGUGUGGCUUAAAUAUGUCGCGGCUAACAAGAAAGUAGGAUUUUACAAGAACAGGGUCAUUAAGAAUUGGGAUGCUAUCACCACCAUAUACUCAAAAGAUCAUGCAAAUGGUGAAGGUGCUGUCACUGGUGCUGAAACUGUUGUAGAACCAACUACGGAACCCAAUGAAGCCUCUCCUGAAGUGCCACAAAAAAAACGAACUGGUGAUGCCAUCCUGUGCCUUCUUGGGGAUAUGAAAGGCUCAUUUCAUGAUGCUUUGAAGUCACUCGAGCCUUUACCUCUGCCCCAAGUUACACCUCCUGCUGAAAUCCUUGCAACACUUGAGAUGAUCCCUGAUCUAGCUCGUGGUGACAUCUUGCGAUCUUAUGGUAAGUUGAUCCUUAGCGAACGCUUGUACCAAGCGCUUCUUGAGCUUCCCAUGAACUUCGGGAAGGAAUGGUUGUUGAUGUUGAAUUAG
rnacentral:rRNA from 1 species